ACAGAGAGCUUGCUCUUGGGUGACGAGUGGCGGACGGGUGAGUAAUGUCUGGGAAACUGCCCGAUGGAGGGGGAUAACUACUGGAAACGGUAGCUAAUACCGCAUAACGUCGCAAGACCAAAGUGGGGGACCUUCGGGCCUCACACCAUCGGAUGUGCCCAGAUGGGAUUAGCUAGUUGGUGAGGUAAUAGCUCACCAAGGCGACGAUCCCUAGCUGGUCUGAGAGGAUGACCAGCCACACUGGAACUGAGACACGGUCCAGACUCCUACGGGAGGCAGCAGUGGGGAAUAUUGCACAAUGGGCGCAAGCCUGAUGCAGCCAUGCCGCGUGUAUGAAGAAGGCCUUCGGGUUGUAAAGUACUUUCAGCGAGGAGGAAGGCAUUAAGGUUAAUAACCUUAGUGAUUGACGUUACUCGCAGAAGAAGCACCGGCUAACUCCGUGCCAGCAGCCGCGGUAAUACGGAGGGUGCAAGCGUUAAUCGGAAUUACUGGGCGUAAAGCGCACGCAGGCGGUCUGUCAAGUCGGAUGUGAAAUCCCGGGGCUCAACCUGGGAACUGCAUUCGAAACUGGCAGGCUAGAGUCUUGUAGAGGGGGGUAGAAUUCCAGGUGUAGCGGUGAAAUGCGUAGAGAUCUGGAGGAAUACCGGUGGCGAAGGCGGCCCCCUGGACAAAGACUGACGCUCAGGUGCGAAAGCGUGGGGAGCAGACAGGAUUAGAUACCCUGGUAGUCCACGCCGUAAACGAUGUCUAUUUGAAGGUUGUUCCCUUGAGGAGUGGCUUUCGGAGCU
rnacentral:rRNA from 1 species